GACGAACGCUGGCGGCGUGCUUAACACAUGCAAGUCGAACGGAGUGGCGAACGGGUGAGUAACACGUGGGUGACCUGCCCUGCACUUCGGGAUAAGCCUGGGAAACUGGGUCUAAUACCGGAUAGUGUGGGAUGGGCCCGCGGCCUAUCAGCUGGUUGGUGGGGUAAUGGCCUACCACGGCGGCGACGGGUAGCCGGCCUGAGAGGGUGGACGGCCACAUUGGGACAGAGACACGGCCCAGACUCGUACGGGAGGAAGCAGUGGGGAAGAUUGCACAAUGGGCGGAAGCCUGAUGCAGCGACGCCGCGUGGGGGAUGACGGCCUUCGGGUUGUAAACUCCUUUCACCAUCGACGCGGAAGAUGGAGAAGAAGCACCGGCUAACUACGUGCCAGCAGCCGCGGUAAUUC
rnacentral:rRNA from 1 species